UACGUAGGGUGCGAGCGUUAAUCGGAAUUACUGGGCGUAAAGCGUGCGCAGGCGGUUAUGUAAGACAGAUGUGAAAUCCCCGGGCUCAACCUGGGAACUGCAUUUGUGACUGCAUAGCUAGAGUACGGUAGAGGGGGAUGGAAUUCCGCGUGUAGCAGUGAAAUGCGUAGAUAUGCGGAGGAACACCGAUGGCGAAGGCAAUCCCCUGGACCUGUACUGACGCUCAUGCACGAAAGGCGUGGGGAGCAAACAGG
rnacentral:rRNA from 1 species